rnacentral:lncRNA from 1 species
AUGAAGAAAUUAAGGCUUAGAGACAUUAAGUACCUUCUUUUUGGUUACACGGGUACUAAUUCAGGCUUGGGAACGAAAAGCUCUUAUUCCAAACCAGCAGGCUUUCUGUGGUUCUCCAGGAUAGAAAGCUUUGCUGACAUCACGAUGUGGGCUGGAUUCCCCGCCACGCUGAACCUGACGGCAUUGCUGCUCUUCACCCAACAGCGCUGCUGUACGGCAGACAACUCGCCAUGUGCCUCCUGUGCCCCCAUCCAUUUUGAGCUGUGCUGCGGACGGUGAGAGCUGGACCAGAGAGCCGUAAUGGCAAGCACAGCAAGUAACAGCCUGUGUGAAGAUCAGAAACUCGUGCUUCUCUGUCGGAGGACAUUUGGGAAGUGAAUAUUUUCUCCUGCUGUGCAUUGCUGUAUCUUUCCACCUCUUGAUUUUCUACUUUAUUUAAGUAAGAUUGUAUCCUUGGACAAUUUUUAAUAUUGUCCUUUAGAAACGAGUAUUAGUCUUAUUUUCAAAAAUGAAAAUAACAGAAAUAUCUGAAGGAGAAAGUGAAGAUCAACAAAAACCCCACAUUCACAGAUAUUACUGCUCGUAGUUUGAUAUAUGUUGAUUCAAGGUUUUUUUCUGUAUAUCCAAUAUUAUAUUUUUACAUAAAUGGCGUGAUUCUAUACAUAACAUUUUGUAAACCACCCUUUCACUUAACAAUGCAUCCUAGACAUUUUUAUAUAGUGAUCUAUAUCAUUCCAUUGUAUAAUAUAUGACAUUUUUUUAAAACCCACUCCUUUUCAUGGACUUCUAUCUUGUAUGGAGUUUUCACUUUUACAAGUAAUGCUUCAAUAAAAAAUCUUCUCUAUACA